GUAGCACUUUCGGCUCCACCACCAUGUCUGCCUGCAUGCUGCCAUGUUUCCCACGAUGAUGAUAAUGGACUGAACCUCUAAAACUGGGAGAAGACUUAGGCCUCAUUUUUCCUGAGUCAAGGGACUCUAUUUCCAGAGCCCAUCAUCCAUCACAAGGGACACUGUAAAAACAUGCCAUGUGAUAUUUAGAAGGGCCAAGGUCCAGAGCCUCAAGGACAGAUCCAGGAACAUUGCAGAUCAAAGGAGAGUAGUAGGACCUGACUCCAAAGCCCAUUUUGCUAUAGGGAAAGAAUUUUGCACUGUAUCCUCACCCUCCACUCCCUGGAACUUACAU
rnacentral:lncRNA from 1 species